UGGGGAAUUUUGCACAAUGGGGGAAACCCUGAUGCAGCGACGCCGCGUGAUUUAGAAGGCCUUCGGGUUGUAAAAAUCUUUUCUAUGGGAAGAAAAUGACAGUACCAUAGUAAUAAGGACCGGCUAAUUACGUGCCAGCAGCCGCGGUAAUACGUAAGGUCCGAGCGUUGUCGGAAUCAUUGGGCGUAAAGGGUACGUAGGCGGGUAAGCAAGUUAGAAGUGAAAUCCUAUAGCUCAACAAUAGUAAGCUUUUAAAACUGCUCAUCUUGAGGUAUGGAAGGGAAAGUGGAAUUCCUAGUGUAGCGGUGAAAUGCGCAGAUAUUAGGAGGAAUACCGGUGGCGAAGGCGACUUUCUGGCCAUAACCUGACGCUGAGGUACGAAAGCGUGGGUAGCAAACAGG
rnacentral:rRNA from 1 species